rnacentral:rRNA from 1 species
UACAGAGGUCUCAAGCGUUGUUCGGAUUCAUUGGGCGUAAAGGGUGCGUAGGUGGCAUGGUAAGUCGGAUGUGAAAUCCCGGGGCUCAACCCCGGAACUGCAUUUGAUACUGCUGCGCUAGAGUACUGGAGAGGAGAUUGGAAUUUACGGUGUAGCAGUGAAAUGCGUAGAUAUCGUAAGGAAGACCAGUGGCGAAGGCGGAUCUCUGGACAGUUACUGACACUGAGGCACGAAGGCCAGGGGAGCAAACGGG